AUGAUCAGUUUAACUUUGUGCGAGAUGUUUAGCCCUAGAGAAAAUCUCAAAUCUAUGUUGACGCUAUCGAUUGAUGACUCUUGGGCCAAAUUAUUAGAACACUGUUGUAUAUUUUUCUUGACAAGGUGGAAUGACUGCAAUGUGAAACAAAUGGAGUCUAUAUUACUUACAGUAUGGAAUGGAAGUAGAGAAAAUCUCAAAUCUAAGUUGACGCUAUCGAUUGAUGACUGUCGGGUCAAAUUAUCAAAACAGUGUUGUAGAUUUUUCUUGCCAAGGUGGAAUCGCUACAACAUGAAAGAAUUGGAGUCUAUACUAGUUACAGUAUGGAAUGGAAGAAGUAUUUUCAGUAGUGUGGUGUUGUCCACAUGCAUAUGA
rnacentral:rRNA from 1 species